UGGGGAAUAUUGCACAAUGGGCGCAAGCCUGAUGCAGCCAUGCCGCGUGUGUGAAGAAGGCCUUCGGGUUGUAAGCACUUUCAGCGAGGAGGAAGGUGGUGAGCUUAAUACGCUCAUCAAUUGACGUUACUCGCAGAAGAAGCACCGGCUAACUCCGUGCCAGCAGCCGCGGUAAUACGGAGGGUGCAAGCGUUAAUCGGAAUUACUGGGCGUAAAGCGCACGCAGGCGGUUUGUUAAGUCAGAUGUGAAAAUCCCCGGGCUCAACCUGGGAACUGCAUUUGAAACUGGCAAGCUAGAGUCUCGUAGAGGGGGGUAGAAUUCCAGGUGUAGCGGUGAAAUGCGUAGAGAUCUGGAGGAAUACCGGUGGCGAAGGCGGCCCCCUGGACGAAGACUGACGCUCAGGUGCGAAAGCGUGGGGCAGCAAACAGGAUUAGAUACCCUGGUAGUCCACGCUGUAAACGAUGUCGAUUUGGAGGUUGUGCCCCUUGAGGCGUGGCUUCCGGAGCUAACGCGUUAAA
rnacentral:rRNA from 1 species